rnacentral:rRNA from 1 species
UACGGGGGGAGCAAGCGUUGUUCGGAUUUACUGGGCGUAAAGGGCGGGUAGGCGGCCACCGCAAGUCAGUUGUGAAAUCUCCGGGCUUAACCCGGAAAGGUCAAUCGAUACUGCGGGGCUAGAGUGCAGAAGGGGCAACUGGAAUUCUCGGUGUAGCGGUGAAAUGCGUAGAUAUCGAGAGGAACACCUGCGGCGAAGGCGGGUUGCUGGGCCGACACUGACGCUGAUGCGCGAAAGCCAGGGGAGCGAACGGG